rnacentral:rRNA from 1 species
UACGAAGGGGGCUAGCGUUGCUCGGAAUUACUGGGCGUAAAGGGAGCGUAGGCGGACAUUUAAGUCAGGGGUGAAAUCCCAGAGCUCAACUCUGGAACUGCCUUUGAUACUGGAUGUCUUGAGUGUGAGAGAGGUAUGUGGAACCCCGAGUGUAGAGGUGAAAUUCGUAGAUAUUCGGAAGAACACCAGUGGCGAAGGCGACAUACUGGCUCAUUACUGACGCUGAGGCUCGAAAGCGUGGGGAGCAAACAGG